rnacentral:rRNA from 1 species
UAAAGAUUCAUCGCUGAUAGAUAGGCAUGCGUUCCAUUAGGCAGUUGGCGGGGUAACGGCCCACCAAACCGACGAUGGAUAGGGGUUCUGAGAGGAAGGUCCCCCACAUUGGUACUGAGACACGGACCAAACUCCUACGGGAGGCAGCAGUGAGGAAUAUUGGUCAAUGGGCGUAAGCCUGAACCAGCCAGGUCGCGUGAGGGAUGAAGGUUCUAUGGAUCGUAAACCUCUUUUAUAAGGGAAUAAAGUGUGGGACGUGUCCUAUUUUGUAUGUACCUUAUGAAUAAGGAUCGGCUAACUCCGUGCCAGCAGCCGCGGUAAUACGGAGGAUCCGAGCGUUAUCCGGAUUUAUUGGGUUUAAAGGGUGCGUAGGCGGCCUUUUAAGUCAGCGGUGAAAGUCUGUGGCUCAACCAUAGAAUUGCCGUUGAAACUGGGGGGCUUGAGUAUGUUUGAGGCAGGCGGAAUGCGUGGUGUAGCGGUGAAAUGCUUAGAUAUCACGCAGAACCCCGGUUGCGAAGGCAGCCUGCCAAGCCAUGACUGACGCUGAUGCACGAAAGCGUGGGGAUCAAACAGGAUUAGAUACCCUGGUAGUCCACGCAGUAAACGAUGAUCACUAGCUGUUUGCGAUACAGUGUAA